CCUGUUUCGACAGACUCCGGAAUCAGUGUGUUUUUUUCCCAGGUAACUAGUCAGGGGAGGGUCUGAGUUGUGAAUACUCAGCAUCCGGCUCAGCCACCUGGAAGAAGCCAGCUAUACUUGCCCUUCCCCAGCUCUACCUGUAGGGAGGACCCUGCAGAGAUGGGGCCCCGUGUGAUAAACGGAAGAAUGCUGACGGGCCACUCGGUCUGUGGGUUUUUCCAAUGCCUGCUGGGCAUCAGCACAUGCUGGGGAAAAAGGAACGAAUGAAGAUGUGGGUAAUGCUGCUCUUCCUGGUACCGAUGAUGCUCAUCCUGCCCAGUGAUGGAAGAUUUGGAAACCCAUACAACACCAAAGUUAUCCUGACUCAUUUGAUGGGGAAACCCUGUGACUGCCAGGGUGGAACAUAGAUUGCUGGCUUUGCCUCCAAUCUGGACAUCCUUGGCUGCUUGCAGUGGUCUCUAAUGAUACAGUCACAGAUGCCCCUAGUACUAUAAAAGAUUGCUCAGCCACAUUUCCCAUCCAUGUAAAGCUCCUCCCAAUGAAACUUUCUGGGACUUGUAUUUGGACCCCGACUACUACUGAUAAAUCCACUGUAGAUGUAGGCCACAUUGAUCCAUCUUUCUGUAAUUCAAAUACAACCAAAUCUAAUGCUCAA